GCCAGCGGCAUUUCUCCCGCGAUGGCCAAGGUGGAGGUUCACAAUCCAUGGGGGAAAUAUCGCGUCGUGAGCACCAAGCCGAUGCCUGGAGCGCGAUGGAUCCAGCUCCUCGUCGAUGGCGGAUGCCGUGUAGAGGUUUGCACGGAGGACAAGAUCAUUCUCAGCGUGGAAGACAUUGUCGCGCUCAUCGGCAGCAAAUGCGACGGCGUCAUCGGCCAGCUCACUGAGGACUGGGGCGAUGCUCUCUUUGGAGCAUUGAAGAAAGCCGGCGGCCACGCCUUUAGCAACAUGGCAGUGGGCUACAACAACGUUAAUGUGGACGCUGCUACUUUGUAACAACAUCAUUUAAUGAUCUUACAGGGUGUUCUCACCGAGACGACAGCUGAGCUUGCCGCUUCGUUAACGCUGGCUGUUGCCAGGAGAAUUGUGGAGGCGGACUCGUUUAUGCGAGCUGGGAAAUACAAAGGAUGGCUUCCCUCCUUAUUCAUUGGGAACUUGCUCAAGGGACAAACUGUUGGAAUCAUCGGUGCUGGGAGGAUUGGAUCGGCCUAUGCACGAAUGAUGGUUGAAGGGUUUAAGAUGGAUGUCAUUUACUACGAUCUCUAUCAGUCUACGAGACUGGAGAAAUUUGUCACAGCGUAUGGAGAGUUUCUCAAGUCCCAAGGAGAGACUCCGGUCACUUGGAAAAGAGCUGCAACGGUGGAAGACGUUCUUAGAGAGGCGGAUGUGGUGAGUCUACAUCCAAUACUUGACAAAACAACAUACCAUCUGAUGAACACGGAAAGGCUUUCAAUCAUGAAAAAGGAUGCCAUAUUAAUCAACGCAAGCAGGGGGCCAGUGAUUGAUGAGGUGGCCUUGGUUGCACAUCUGAAAGCCAACCCAAUGUUUCGUGCGGGACUUGAUGUUUUUGAGGACGAGCCCUUUAUGAAGCCCGGCCUAGCAGAGAUGCCAAACGCCGUUGUGGUGCCGCACAUUGCAUCAGCAUCCAAGUGGACAAGGGAAGGCAUGGCCACGCUUGCAGCGCUCAACGUUCUCGGGAAAUUGAAAGGAUAUCCAGUAUGGCAUGAUCCCAAUAAUGUCGUCCCAUUUCUGGAUGAGAAGACUCGGCCACCAAUGGCGUGCCCGAGCAUUGUUAAUGCGAAAGCAUUGGGGCUGGCUGUUGCUAAAGCCUCUAAAAUGUGAGAAUGAGCGUCAGCUCUGUAACUAUUUUAUGAACGCUCUGGUAAGAACUUUUUACACGAGCUAGCGAGAGCGAGAGAGGUAAAAGCUUUCCUAUGCCUCUCUUCGCAUCACACAGGAUAAGUAGUGCUCUCCGAGUUAUCGUUG